rnacentral:rRNA from 1 species
GAACGCUGGCGGCAUGCCUAACACAUGCAAGUCGAACGGAAGUAGAAAUACUUAGUGGCGAACGGGUGAGUAACACGUGAGCAACCUGCCUUAUACACAGGGAUAACAGUUGGAAACGACUGCUAAUACCGGAUAAGACCACACUAUGGCAUCAUAGAGGGGUCAAGGCGAAUAAGCGGUAUAAGAUGGGCUCGCGUCCAAUUAGCUAGUUGGUGAGGUAACGGCCCACCAAGGCGACGAUUGGUAGCCGACUUGAGAGAGUGAUCGGCCACACUGGAACUGAGACACGGUCCAGACUCCUACGGGAGGCAGCAGUGGGGAAUAUUGGGCAAUGGAGGAAACUCUUACCCAGCCAAUGCCGCGUGAGUGAUGAAGGUCUUUGGAUUGUAAAGCUCUUUGAUUGGGGACGAAUACGAUCCGACGGUACCAAGAACCUAAGGCCCGGCUAACUAUGUGCCAGCCGCCGC